GCUCAUUUCUUUUCUUCUUCUCUCUAUACGUUGGUAUUCUACCCAAUAAUCAUUCGAUCGCUAUUACGAUUCAAUUUCCGGGAUCAAUAUAUCCAAAGAAUGUCUAAGUGCCGCCCACAUUGGGUUAUACUUUGUCGUAUGUCGAUAAUUCGAUAAAUGAGUUGAAGUAUUAUACUUUGUCGUUUGUCGAUAAUUCGAUAAAUGAGUUGAAGUAUUAUACUUUGUCGUUUGUCGUCAAUUCGAUAAAUGAGUUGAAGUAUUGCACUUUGUCGUUCAUUGUGAGAAUUUGAUCUCGUAAGUUAUCGUAAAAGCUGUAUUGAUCAUUAACCCGGUUUUUGUGAAAUUCGUUAAGGUUCGAAUCUCAUGACUACCAUUAAGGUUUGAUUUAGGUUUUACACCAAUACGUAUUCCAUUCUGUUAAACUAUGUAUUUAACUACCAAGAAUACUCCCAACUACACCCUUACAAUCAAACAAACUAUAAAAUCAUCAGAAUAUCCAGAAUAAUAAAGUGCAUGCCUAAUUAUCGGAAGAAGUAGAAUCAGGAAGUUGUUAACUCAAUCUUGCAUGCUGAUUUGUAAUUACAAUAGAUUGGAGUAAGGAUUGGAUCCGACACUGAAGGACUUCAAGAAGUGGCUUAUUUUCAAAUUAAGAAAUAUUGUUUUUAUUAAAAGCUACCUUUGUAAAACAUGGAAAUUAUUCCAUCUUUUUAAAUAAAAUCCGGUGUUUCUAAACUCUGAUAUUUUUCCUAACUCACGGUCCUGAUGAAAUUUCCGCUGCAAUGUUUUUUUAAAAUAAUCACCAGUACCACUGGACUGCUCACGGCACCGAUUCCGGCCAGAUGGGGUCGGGGGUCGUGACAUCGAGGUUAGCCGAUGUCACAUGGCUUUGAAUCUCUGAGGCUAGACCCUUGAGGUACAACUCAAUGCGCUUGAUUGGAGGGUCCACCAUGGUUGGACACAAGAUGGCCAGUUCGUUCGACCGUUUCGUGUAAGCUUCGAUUUCCGACCCUGUCAUUUUCAAAUGAUAAAGCUCCACUUCCAACUUGUGGAUAUCAUCACGUGUGCAGUAUUCUCUUUUUAUCAAUUCCUUGAAAUCGUUCCAAGGGGUGGCGUUAGCAGCCGCCAGCCCUAGAAUCUGUACUUGCGCAUUCCACCAAGUUAGCGCGAUUCCUUCCAAAGUACCAGUGGCGUACGUCACCCUGCGAGCCUCAGGGCAUUCACACAUCUCGAAUACUGACUCGAGCUUUUCAAACCAAUGGAGUAGUCCCACUGCUCCUUCCGUGCCACUAAACGUGCUUGGACGACAGUCCAUGAAGUUCUUGAAUGUGCAGACAGGUUGUGGGGCGUGUUGACCUGCUUGUGCAGCUGCAAGUGCCGCAGCUACUUGUUCAUUGAUAAGAGCCGUCAACUGGGCUUGAGUCAUGUUCACACGUCCAGACAUGAUCUUCAUAGUAAAAGUAGAAUAAGUGAGAAGGGUUCGCGAGUAGUGCGAUGACAGAAGAGUGUAAGCACAUAGAUGUUCUCAUGUAAUGACGCAUAGUAAGCAAUGUAAUCUAAGCAUACUGCG
rnacentral:lncRNA from 1 species